GAUGAACGCUGGCGGCGUGCCUAACACAUGCAAGUCGAACGAAGCACUGAGACUUCGGUUUUUGUGCUUAGUGGCGGACGGGUUAGUAACGCGUGAGCAAUCUGCCUUUCAGAGGGGGAUAACGAUUGGAAACGAUCGCUAAUACCGCAUAACGUAUUCGGAUGGCAUCAUCUGAAUACCAAAGGAGCAAUCCGCUGAAAGAUGAGCUCGCGUCUGAUUAGAUAGUUGGUGAGGUAACGGCCCACCAAGUCGACGAUCAGUAGCCGGACUGAGAGGUUGAACGGCCACAUUGGGACUGAGACACGGCCCAGACUCCUACGGGAGGCAGCAGUGGGGAAUAUUGCGCAAUGGGGGAAACCCUGACGCAGCAACGCCGCGUGAUUGAAGAAGGUCUUCGGAUUGUAAAAAUCUUUUAUCAAGGACGAAGAAGUGACGGUACUUGAUGAAUAAGCUCCGGCUAACUACGUGCCAGCCGCCGCAGUAA
rnacentral:rRNA from 1 species